rnacentral:misc_RNA from 1 species
AGUUUACAACGGAAAGUUUUAAAAGACAGUCGUGAAUCGCGGAAUCGCAUUAAUAAAUACUAGACUAUCGGUAUUUUGUUGAUGGCUGCAACCAAAAUUAUAGAUGCUCCAAGAAAUGGACAUGAAAUGGCGCCAUUAAAUACUCGAGCGCGGGGCGAUGGUACUCAUGGAGUAACAAUUGUUCUUACUGCUUCUCAGCGAAAUUCGGUAAGCUCAGUGGAGGUACCGGGUGGCGAGCCCGAUCGUGCAGCAUGGUCUGGAAAAAUGCAGUUUUUCCUCAGUAUAAUCGGAUAUUCUGUUGGUCUGGGAAACAUUUGGCGAUUUCCGUAUUUGUGCCAACAGAAUGGUGGAGGUGCUUUUCUAAUACCGUUCAUGGUGAUGUUGAUACUGGAAGGUGUGCCGUUGUUUUUAAUAGAACUGGGUAUUGGACAACGUAUGAGACUUGGCGCACUUGGUGUUUGGAACACUAUACACCCUUGGCUGGGUGGUAUUGGAAUAUCAUCCUGUAUCGUAACACUGUUUGUAGCCUUAUAUUAUAAUGUUAUAAUAACCUGGGUAUUCUUCUAUUUAUUCAACAGUUUUCGGUAUCCUUUACCCUGGGCUACCUGUCCUACAAAUGGCACAGUUGAAGUAGAAGAAUGUGCCCGUUCAUCAGAAACUGCGUACUUUUGGUAUAGGACAACUUUAGAUGCCGCACCAUCGAUGGAUGAACCAGGCGGCUUAAAGUGGUGGAUUGUCCUCUGUUUGUUCCUAUCUUGGACAAUCGUAUUUUUUAUUGUAAUGAAAGGCAUUCAAAGUUCCGGCAAGGUUGUGUACUUCACAUCGCUUUUCCCGUAUAUUGUGUUGACAAUUUUUUUUAUACGAGGAAUUACAUUAAGAGGUGCUAGUGCUGGUCUUAUACACAUGUAUACACCGAAAGUGGAGAAAUUGGCCGAUCCGACAGUAUGGUUGGAUGCAGCGACACAAGUUUUCUACUCUUUUGGUCUAGCUUUUGGAUCGCUCAUAGCAUUUGGAAGUUACAAUCCGCCCAAAAAUAAUUGUGUACGUGAUGUCCUUUUAGUGUCGGUGUGCAAUGCUAUCACCGCCAUAUACGCAAGCGUCGUAAUUUUUGCCAUUCUCGGAUUCAAGGCAACGGUCAAUGUGGAUCGUUGUAUCGAACUUAAUAAGGACAUCUUAAUCAAACAUGAUUUACUUCAUUACAAGAAUGCAACCUUUGAAGAAUACGAAUCAGUGAUGGCAAAAUUUAACGGUAGCGAGUCCAUCAACUUGGAACUUGAAGAAUGUAGCCUAUCAAAACAACUGGACAAUGCUGCAGAGGGCACUGGAUUAGCGUUUAUUGUUAUUACUCAGGCUAUUGUGGAGUUACCUGGUGCCCCAUUCUGGGCAGUUCUGUUCUUUACAAUGUUACUUUCUUUAGGCCUGGGAUCUCAAAUUGGCAUACUGGAGGGAAUGCUUUGUACACUUUUUGACAUUGAUAUCAUUAAACGGGUUAAGAAACAACAUGUGACAGGGGUGGUAUGUCUAUUCUGCUUCAUUGUCGGUUUCAUCUUCUGUACAGGUGCCGGUGAAUAUUGGCUCAAAAUGUUUGACUCAUUUGCGGGCACCAUUGGUUUGGUUGUGGUCGCAUUGAUGGAAACAAUUGCAGUGGUAUACGUCUACGGACACGAGAGAUUUACAGAAGAUAUUUAUCAGAUGACUGGUUACCGACCCGGUAUAUACUGGCAAUUAACUUGGCGUUAUAUUGGCCCAGUCAUUAUGGUGGCCAUUCUGGUUUCCUCCGUCGUGUUCAUGGUCAUCAAAAAUCCAACGUAUGGAGCCUGGAAUGCACAACUCGGAGCUGUUCAACAAUCUAAUUAUCCAACAUGGGUAAUGGGAGUCGCAUUAGCAAUGAUUCUUGCUGGUGUUUUGCCAAUGCCCAUUGUGUUUUUGAUGCGAAGCUUCCAAUGCCUAAAAGUGGAUCUAGACAUCCAUCAGGGCUCAAUAAGAAGAAAUGAGACUACAGCGUCGACAAAGGAAAUGAUCGAUAAUGAUGACGAUGAGGUUAUGAGUCCUGAUAUGCCUCCUCAGAACUUACUUGCAGCGACAAGGUUCACUAUUGGAGACUUUGAUAAUUAAACUGCACAUGAACAAAUGCAAAUCCAUUAAAAAUAACUUAUCUUACUGAUAAUUGAAAUUUAAAGUAAUAAUAUUAAAAGGAAUUAACUUAAAUAAAAAGGCAACUGUUACCUCCAAAUAAUUUGUAUUAAAUGAGCGUUUUACUGAACUAAGUUUAUUCAUCAAAUAUUAUAAUAGGAAAAAAUUAAAUAAACUUAGAAAAAGGAAGACGCCCAAGUUAUAAAUAGAAGCUGGUAAUGCAGAUACAUGUUUAAUAAUAAAAACAAUGUUUAAUAUAAAAUGUAUAUAAAAAAAAUUGUAAUCAUCGUGCAGCAACGCGCCUCCACAAAACUAAUACUCGUACCACUAACGCUUGUUCAUUAAACUUAUCGAAGAAGCAAAAACAAAAAAAGCAAUCAACGUCAAAACAAAUAAAAAAAUGCUGUCACCACUGUUGAGGCCUUUUAACUACGAAACGUAAUCUUUUAUCAUAAUCGAAAAUCGCUCAACUUUAAGGCACCGAAAAACUGAAUGUAAAUCUUCAAAAUACAAAUAUCUAUUGGCACGAAUAACAGCAUCUAGCAAAGCGACGACACUAAAUGCUUUUAUAGCCGCACUGUCAUGUUUAUUUUAGUGUACUAAUCGUAACAAACAAUUUGUGUGGGCUUCAUGUAUGGAUCUGUAAAUAACAAGAUAGAUAAAAGAUCGGCGGAAACGGAAAUGGAAUGUAUGUAUGUGUCCAUGCUUGCACUCAUUAGUUAAAAAAAGUAGAUAUAUGCCUUUUAAGUGACAUUGUUGGUUCAAGUGUGUAUGUCCAAUACAUAUAAUACAUUUUAACCACAAAGCAAGUCUUACAUGUAAAAUAAAAGACGAAGAGACGAUAAGCUUAAAGUUCAAAUAUUUACAAUUGUAAAAUCGAUUUACGGCUUAGCUUAUAAUUAAUAUUAAAAAAAUAAUAAAUGCCUUUGGUGAAAGGACAACAGGAUCAAAAUUUCUAUAACCGUUUCGAAUAUUUUGUCAAUUGCUCUGAAACUUGGAAUAUUCUAACUCUAACACUGGUGAUUGCCUCUUUGCAUAAUGUUGAAGAAACUCUCGUUACUAAACACCUUUGUGUGAAUAAAAUAUUAGAAGACACUGCAUAUUAAAGGAUGACGAAGAUGAUUAUAGUGGUCCCUCCUUGGGGGGGCCCGUUAGAACACGAAGCGACUCUUCGGAUGAUGAAGAUGAUGACGACCGGCCUGUGACAAUGCGAAAUUCCAAUCUUCGCUCCAAACUGGCUGUACCAAUUCAUCUAAAUGUGCCAACAAGUAAACGCUCAUUUAAAAUGGAAGUUUUUGAUCUGUAAUAUACUUAAGUUUGGAAGUAAUUAGUAAUUAAGAUGUUAUGCUUGAUUGUUUACUUUGAACUUUAAACUAUAAUAAUUUUAAUUUGUCAUUAACUCCGAAUCUAAAUAAUUUAAUUGAAAUAAGGAUAGUUUUUUCAUUACAUGCAUAGUUAACACCAUUUAAAAUUAAAAAAUAUAUACACUAUUGACGCUCAGAGUAAAAUCAAUGUUUAAAUGUAUGAAUAUAUACAUAUAUAUGUACAUACCCCUACACUCGUGACCACGCAAAACUUAUCACACAAAAUUGUUCUAGUAGUGUGCAUAUUUAACUACAUUUUAUAGGUUAUUAAUCAGCUAUAGAUAAAUCAAUUGAAAGAUAGUGAGCUUUACAAAAUGAGCUCGAAUUGUAAGAAAAUGAUAUUUUUUAUUUUAAUUUCAUUUGCACUAUAUUUGAAAUUAAUAUUUUAUUUAAUUUUUUUGAAUUGAAACACGAAGUUUAGUAGGUGCAUCACUUUAAAACAAAAAAAUCUACCGCUUUUGUAUAAGCACAGAAAAGCUAUUUUGUGUUUUACUCAUUAAACGUAAUAAAUUAAAAACUUUAAUUAUAGUUAGAUAAUAUAAUUUAGUUUACUUAUGAUUACUAAAAACAUAAAAAAGCAAAAUUGAAAAAAAAGCCCGAAAGAACGAAAAAGUCCAAAAAAAAAAAUUUAAGAAAGUAUAGUAGUAAGGCUUACGUGGCCACGCGUGUAAAAGAAAUGACAAUGAAAAUAUGCAUGUGCACACAUGUAUGUCCAUAUGUAUUUAUCUAAGUCUGUGUUAAAAAAUACUUAAUUAAGUACAUACACCCUGACUCACUUGAAUAGGUACAUAUUUCAUUUUUAAGAUUCCAGCAUAUGUAUGUCUCUUCAUUUAGACAUCGCAAACGGCUCCGUUUUAGCUUGGAGCUUGGACUUGUUGAACAAGUCAAAAAAUAUGUUUUAUUUGAAUACGUUCAUAUUGUGAUGCGCUAUUGAGAAAGCUGGUCCGUUUAGGAGAAAUUAAUAAAAUUCAGGUCUUUUUAGUGAAUAUGGGACUAGCAGAUGCCAUUUCUGAUGUCGAAAAGACCAAAUUUGAAGCUUUUGCGGAUCAAAGCCUUUCUGCGCUAACGAUUGCUUCUAAAAUUAAUAGAAGUGCAAAUAUCGUUGUUUUUACGGUUCGAUGCCUUAUCAGAAAAUAUGAAAGGAAGUCAAAAAAAGACGACCACAGAAGCAGAAAGGCGGUAUAUUUUGAAAAUAAUUUCCAAUUCGAGUGACUUUGUAGCAAAAAUAAAAGCGAAAAGUUGUUUCCGUGCCAGUAUUUCCACUGUGAGAAGAAUAACAAAAAGUUUUCAGCAUCUGGUGCUCAAAAAACCAAAACCUAAAUGCUUAACGGAAGGAUACAAGGCUACAGUUUUGGAGCAUGUCACAUGUGUUGGAAAAAUGAAUCGAAAUCGGUCAUCAACGGUUCCGACAGAUUUAAUUUUUAUUUCGGGGUAGAUGUUCCACAAGAUUUAGGAUAGAUAGAUUUCUGACUAGAAUUUUAUUCAUUACCCUAAAUUUUACUAAUUAUGCUAAAUACUAAAGUGAUUAAUUUGAAAACCUAUAAAACAUUUACACUUGUAAGUCAUGGAAAUUAAAAUCACAUUUUUUGAGUUAUUCAAUAAAAUACUCCAUAUAAGCAAAAUUUUGAAAGGUAUAUUAUUCAUCUUCACAACAUUUGUUCAAAAUAGAUCCAUCUUUAAAACCAAGUUAAGGCAGAGCUUCUCUUUAAAUCAAGAGAUAAAGACUCGUAUUUUAAAAAUAAAAUAAGUGGAUCGGAGUAUAUGUACAUACAUACAAACUACAAUAGUGAUUUAUUUACUAGAAAAAGUAAAUAAUAGCGGGUUUCGGUGCGCCAAGGGUUGAACUUGCGGUACAACCUUGCACUAACAUGCUUUCUGACGCAUGUGCAAUUGCUCCUUUGGCGGGGAGAACUUUAUUCCGCGUUAUAAAAGUAUUAUUUGUUAUUCGUUAUAUAGUAUACCUUUAUGUUACUAAUUAUUUACUCAUGUAUACAAACUUGUGCACUGUUAAAUAUGCACAAGUGUCGAAUACUGUUUAGACGAACUUUAUAACAAGGCUGAAAGCAGUGAGCAAAGAUAGCGACCAAUGAAAUUAUGAAUUGGAAACAGAUAUUCGGCCCUAUUCCCGUUUCCAAGUUGUUUUCGAUGUUAUCGUCGCUUCAUUCCUAAAUAUCGUAACGUCAAAGAAGAGUUAUCGAAAAUUUUAAAUUAAAAUUAAGCGUAUGACAAUGUCCAACAUCGACGCUAUAUUUAAAGUUGUUAUUUUUUGUUUUGCAGAAAAUAUUUCAACCAUUUUGUAAAUUUAAUGUCCGGUUUUACUUUACCACUAUUUCCCAUAGGUGCUCCGACUCGCUAACGGUGAAGUUCCGGGUUCUUUUGUUUUUCAUCCCUUUUCGAUAUAACUUUCCUCUCAAAUUUAUGUAUUGUCUGUUAUAAUUUAAAUAUUUCAAACGUAUUUUUAUGGAUGAGAUUUGUAAAACAUGGGCAACAUAUGUGCAGUUUAUCAUAAUAAAAUUUUAUAAAAAUAAGCAAUGACUGUGAAACGUAAACGACUACUCAGUCUGCAGCAAUGCUAAGCGAAGACUUUAUUUGGGCACAACUUAAGUAUGGACUGUGAAACCGGGCAUAAGUAUAAUAAGACUUCUGUUGACAUAGUUACAGAUUUAUUUUCAUUUAUUUUUAUUUUGAAUUUUAAUGAAUAAUUGUUAGGUAUUACAAUUUGAGUACCUAAAAGACAAGAAUAUAUGACACAAAACAGUAUAAUACAUAUAAUAUGUAAGUAUACGAAUUGGUGUGGGAUUUUAUUUAACGCAGUCUUAAUUAAAUCGUUUUUGUGGCAUUUUAAUAAUUUUUUCCAUAUUUUAUAUAGUAACAAAACUUUAAAUUGCAAUAACGAGAAAUUUUAAUUAAGCAAAGUAGUUAGUAACCGAACGAGAGACAGGGGCUCAAGGUUAAUUCUCAAGACAACCGGUUCUAUGUUAUUUCACUGUUAUUUCGGCGAACUAACCCUGUUUCAAUCGAUGUGUUUUUGGUUAUGAUUGCCCUCAGUAAAGCAAUUCCUAGCAACAGGGUUGCUCCGCAUCCUUCUGAUCCGUACUGGCAUUGAGUACAAUCCGAGCCCGGAAGAAUUUUGCAGCUGCGUUUGCGCUAAAAGGCUCCAUCAAAACUAAACCUCGGUUAGAAGUAAUAUAUGCAAUGGAUGGAACCAUCUUAAGACCUGCUCAGGCCUUAAGAAACAGAAGGAGUAGACCACAAGUGACCCCAUUGUGACAACUUUCUCACUCCCAGGAUUAUCCACAGACACCCAUGACAAACCCGAUUACUACAAAUCAACUGUGACAGACUCCAGAGUAAGAUCGAGGAGAUAGUUGCAUUCAUGAGCUGGGAAUGAGUUGAGUCUUGAUAGCUGCGGUCUAAAUAUCCAAAUAAAAUAGCCGCUCAGAUCUUCUAAGUUGUUCAGGUUUCAACGUUAUAUGUAAGGAUUGCGACCGAGAUACUGGUGUAGGCCUAGCCAUCAUAAUGCACAACAUCGUCGCAUCGAUGGCGACAUUCACCUCAGGGAUACUACCCUUGAAUAUCAGGCGAUAGCUGUCCGGACAGGCGAUGUCAAGCCCAAAAUAUUUAAUAUAUACAUCAUCCUGGAUAUCACCCGAAUAGAAUUAUGGUCACAUUGCUAGUGGUGGUCUGAUAAAUAGCAUAACUUGGCGACCUUUGGACUACUGUCAAGGCCUUGUCUAAUCCGAGACCCCAAAGAAGUACUCGAAAUUUUUUAGAUAUGGUUAUUGAUACUCUCAUUGAAUUUAAAUUCUAAAUGAGAAAAUUCUACACAUUCAUAUACAUAGUUACAUACUUAGAAUUAUAUAUUUUAUAUAUACGAAAAGAAAUAAAAUGCGGCUAACAAAUAUUUGCGCACUAUAAUUCAUGGUUGCAAGUUUGCUAAAAGUCGAUUUUUCCUAACGUUUUAUGAACGGCUGUCGGAAUUAUUAGAAGCUAUUCUCGCGGCUGUUGAAAAACUUUGAGAUUAUUCGAAAAUAUUCGGGGUUCGCAGAAUAGUGGUUUCCAAUAGUGGUGUAUCUAAAAAUAUCAAAUCUUGUAAAUCAAUUUUCCGCUAUUAUUAUUAACUAAUUUUUACUACAUAUGUAUGACAUAUACGAUAAUUUUCAAAUUUAAAAAAGAACAUUUUAUAUCCCGAGCUUUGGGAUACCUCUUAAGAUUAACUAUUAUUUUAUUAGAUUUUAAUUAGUAUAUAUAUUUAUUGUUCUCCGGUUUUUAUGAUAUUUUCAUUUCUUAUAUUUUGAUCAAUCAUUGAUUGUACAAUAAUACAAUUUCAAAUAAUAGUAACAAUUUUUUCCAGUCAUUCUUAAUUAAGGCUACAUUUUUGAAUAAUUUAUUAAGUUAUUGAGAGCACAAAUAUAUUCUAAAUCGAUCUUAUAUGCCAUAGAUAUAAGAUAACAACUGCUUUGCUAUCUAGUGUUUUUUUAAUUUUCAAAAAAGCCUACUUAAAGAACUUAUUUUAUUUUAAGAUUUUUGAGAAACAAUCAGAAAUCAACAACCCGAAGAAACUUUAUCACUAGUAUUAGUUUAAUGCUAGGUUAGAAAAUAAGUACAGGAGGUUCGAAUUUCUGAUUGUCAUAGAACGCUGUUGUGAAAACGAAGAAAGAAGUAAUACCCUAUUAGGCGAACGCGACAAAAGAGAUAUAAACAUUUCCAAACAUAGACAACACCUUUAACAGAUAUUUGCUAGAUAUUUGCACAAGAUACAUAACACAAGAACUCAAUAAAUCCAUAAAAGGGUUAGAUUUCGAAAGACAGUUUUAAAAUAAUUUUAUUUAUUAUUUUUAGUAUUUGUAACACUGUGCACUGUGUUAUUAUAUAUACUAUAUAUAUAUAUGGUGUAUACAUAUGCGAAAGUAAAUAAAAUGUGUAGAUUUGUAUAGAUUUUCGAGGUUUGUUGAAAAACCUGGCUUUAAACUGGCUAUACGAGUGUGUAUGCUGGCAUUACGAAUUUUAGAUUGUUUUAGUCAGAUUUGCUCGAAAGGAUGAGUAAUGUUGAGAAAGUAUGUUAGGGGUGUAUGGGUUAUUAAUGGCACUCACUAGUUAUUUCACAAAAAACUUAUUAUAGACUUUUUGAUCAUCUUAAAUAGGUCCUCGAACCUUGAAAUUGUACUGGUACCGUGAAAGAUACCGUAAAGUUAAGGAUGUGUUCUAUACGUAUAAUGAUACAAGACUAUUACUUGUAUAACAUUGUUAAUGAAGCAAAAAAUACGAACAUCUAAUUUUUUCAGCACACAUCACCAUAUUAAAAUUAGAAAUAAAAGCUUAGUUUUUUAGGAUGUCAGUUAAUUACGACAUAAAUGUGUGAUAUACAGGUAUUAAAUGAUAUUCGCUAAAAAAUAAAUAGGAUGUAAAUAUUUCAAACGAAUACAGUAAUUAACGCAACGCUUAAGCGAUAUAAAUACAAAACUAGAAUUAGCUAACAUAAAAUGCUUGUGUUAAGCCUACUGAAGAAUGUUAAUCUUCUACUUACAUACUAUAUAUGUAUUUGCUGUAAAUAUUUUUAUGUAGCAAUACAAACGUUUUGGUUUAAGUUUCGUUUAGCCAAUAUGAACCCAUUAAGUUAAAAAAUGCCAACAAUCAACAAAGCUUCAUGUAUGGUAUUGUUAAAUAUUGCCAACUAUGCUGCUUUUAUUUUUGCAUUCAGUAGUAACAAUACACACUUAUAUAAAACACU